rnacentral:piRNA from 1 species
CUCAGACUCAGGAUAAAAGUGAACUACAUGC